AUACCUUUCUCGGCCUUUUGGCUAAGAUCAAGUGUAGUAUCUGUUCUUAUCAGUUUAAUAUCUGAUACGUGAGCCAUCGGCUCACUCGAUAUUAACUCAAUUUUUUUCAUAGGGGAGAGCCCGCUUCGGUAGCUUGCUACCAGGGCUCUCGAGCGUCGCCUUGCUCUGCACUGCUGCCUUGUCCUGGCGCACCUAUC